AGUAGAGCGGCGCACGGGUGAGUAACGCGUGGGUAACCUACCCCUGGGCGGGGGAUAACCACUCGAAAGGGUGGCUAAUACCGCAUGAGACCACGGGGCCUUCGGGUCCUGAGGCCAAAGGUGGCACCGGCUUGCCGGUGCUGUCACCUGGGGAUGGGCCCGCGUACGAUUAGCUGGUUGGUAGGGUAACGGCCUACCAAGGCUACGAUCGUUAGCUGGUCUGAGAGGAUGGCCAGCCACACUGGAACUGGAACACGGUCCAGACUCCUACGGGAGGCAGCAGUGAGGAAUAUUGCGCAAUGGGGGAAACCCUGACGCAGCAACGCCGCGUGGGUGAAGAAGGCCUUCGGGUCGUAAAGCCCUUUCGGACGGGACGAACGCUUCGCGGUGACAACCCGCGAAGUCUGACGGUACCGUAAGAAGAAGCACCGGCUAACUCCGUGCCAGCAGCCGCGGUAAUACGGAGGGUUGCAAGCGUUGUUCCGGAAUUACUGGGCGUUA
rnacentral:rRNA from 1 species